CCUACGGGGGGCGGCAGUAGGGAAUAUUGGUAAUCUGCGAAAGCGGGAACCAGCAACGCCGCGUGUGCGAUGAAGGCCUUCGGGUUGUAAAGCACUUUUUGAAGGGAUGAGGAAGGACAGUACCUUCAGAAUAAGCCUCGGCUAACUACGUGCCAGCAGCCCCGGUC
rnacentral:rRNA from 1 species